CGCGUGCACUGGUUCGGCCGGGCCUUUCCCUCUGGGGAGCCGCAUGCCCUUCACUGGGUGGGUCGGGGAACCAGGACUUUUACUUUGAACAAAUUAGAUCGCUUAAAGAAGGCCUAUGCUCGAAUACAUUAGCGUGGAAUAAUAGAAUAGGACGCGUGGUUCUAUUUUGUUGGUUUCUAGGACCGCCGUAAUGAUUAAUAGGGACAGUCGGGGGCAUCAGUAUUCAAUUGUCAGAGGUGAAAUUCUUGGAUUUAUUGAAGACUAACUACUGCGAAAGCAUUUGCCAAGGAUGUUUUCAUUAAUCAGGAACGAAAGUUAGGGGAUCGAAGACGAUCAGAUACCGUCGUAGUCUUAACCAUAAACUAUGCCGACUAGGGAUCGGACGAUGUUAUAUUUUGACUCGUUCGGCACCUUACACGAAAGUAAAGUUUCUGGGUUCUGGGGGGAGUAUGGUCGCAAGGCUGAAACUUAAAGAAAUUGACGGAAGGGCACCACCAGGGGUGGAGCCUGCGGCUUAAUUUGACUCAACACGGGGAAACUCACCAGGUCCAGACACAAGUAGGAUUGACAGAUUGAGAGCUCUUUCUUGAUUUUGUGGGUGGUGGUGCAUGGCCGUUCUUAGUUGGUGGAGUGAUUUGUCUGCUUAAUUGCGAUAACGAACGAGACCUUAACCUGCUAAAUAGCCCGCAUUGCUUUGGCAGUGCGCCGGCUUCUUAGAGGGACUAUCGG
rnacentral:rRNA from 1 species